GACAGAGGGGGCAAGCGUUGCUCGGAAUUACUGGGCGUAAAGGGCGCGUAGGCGGGAUGGCAAGUCGGUCGUGAAAUCCCUCGGCUCAACUGAGGAUCGUCGAUCGAUACUGCCGUUCUUGAGGAUUGCAGAGGAGACUGGAAUUCCCGGUGUAGCGGUGAAAUGUGUAGAGAUCGGGAGGAACACCAGUGGCGAAGGCGGCCUUCUGGACCAAUACUGACGCUCAUGCACGAAAGCGUGGGGAGCAAACAGG
rnacentral:rRNA from 1 species